GUUAAAAUAGUAAAAACCCUUGAAUGAGUAGGUGUGUCCAAACUUUUGACUGGUACUGUAUAUUAUUAUUUUCAGGUCAAUAGAUGGAUUACGUAAUCCUAAGAAAAACAAUGCCCAAGUGCCACUUUGGAACUGUACUCUUCUGAGGUUUCAGAUUUUCAUAGUUCACUUCAUUGCUGGAAUCAAGAAAUUGGAUGCAGACUGGGUGGGGAAUAUUUCAUGUCAUACUUGGCACACCAUUGGCUUUUUUUACCCUUUCAGGAUGAUUCUGCCUAAUGAAACGGUGAGUCUACUGUUUGUCCAUGGAGGUGGUCUUCGUCUGGAUCUGUCUGUCGGCUAUCUGCUGUUUUUCGACGCUACACGCCCUUUUGGCAUUUUCUUUGUCAGUUACUUUCACUGUAUGAAUUCCCAACUCUUCACAGCAUCGGUGAGAACCCAUUGAUUAAUUGUAUUUAGUUAUCGUAACGAAUGAUCAAAUAUUAUAAUUCAAAGUACAAAAUCCGUGAGGGCUGCUUGUAAUUACUAAGCCUAGUCAUUAAAUGAUUGCAUUGAUAAGUAUUUCCUUAUCAGUUAUUUGUAUUUUUUAUUUAACCUUUUAUUUAACUAGGCAAGUCAGUUAAGAACAAAUUCUUAUUUACAAUGACGGCCUAACCUUGAGGGCAACAUAAUGCAAGCAGUCUCCUGUGUCCCAGAAAGCAUUUCAAAGCUAUCUUUUCUAUAAUGAUCCAUAAUCCCCUAUUGAUCACAUUGUCCUUUAUUUUAUCUCUAGGUAUGUUUGCCUACGCCAUGCUGGCCAUGAGUCCUGUCUUCUGCUACCCCGACUGGCCCAGGAACUUCUUUAGUCGCUUCCCAGAGUUCCUCAUGCCAGUGCUGCCACUCACAUCUCCUUCCCCACAGCCCAGCAUCCCCUGUGUUUACCCAGAGACCCAAAACACCUCUACAGGAUCCAUCCUGCCCCCAAGGCCUCCAAAACACGGUUUAAACACAAGCUGGCAACUCUGUUCACCAUUCUGUACCUAGCUGAACAGUUCUUCCUGCCUUACUCUCACUUCAUCACACAGGUACUACUCCUGUAGAAAUGGAGGAUGAGUUUGUGAUAAACUUGUAGUCCUUUCCAUGUAUUGAAUUAAGAAAAAGCCCUGAUUUGAUUGUCACAGUUGGGAGUCACUGAGUGUACCACUGUCAGCUAAAGUUAUUUCCCAACUCUACGGGUUACCAGAAUAAUUGCUCAAUCAGUGUCAACACUGCUAUCCGUCAGCACCAAACAGUAGCGUAGACUAGCUUGAGUCAGCAGAACGAUGGGAGUUGCAGAGGGGUGUGGAACGAGGCUUUGUAGAAGUAAAACUGGUCCAUACAUUCUGCUGUCCUGAUCUGGAGUGCAGUUCUGUUUUUUUAUUUGACCUGUAUUUAACUAGGAAAGUCAGUUAAGAACAAAUUCAUUUUGUCAAUGACAACCUAGGAACAGUGGGUUAACUGCCUUGUUCAGGGGUAGUAGAAAGGGAUCUUAUACUGUCCCUUAUAAUAUUCCUUACAUACAGCUGAAGUCAGAAGUUUGCAUACACCUUCGCCAAAUACAUUUGAAGUCAGUUUUUCACAA